rnacentral:tRNA from 1 species
GACAACAUGGCCGAGUGGUCUAAGGCGUUUGACUUGAAUUUUUCUAAUAUUUCUUAUCAAAUCUCUUCGGAGACGCAGGUUCGAAUCCUGCUGUUGUCG